GCUACCUGCAGUCGGACGGUAGCACAGAGAGCUUGCUCUCGGGUGACGAGUGGCGGACGGGUGAGUAAUGUCUGGGGAUCUGCCCGAUAGAGGGGGAUAACCACUGGAAACGGUGGCUAAUACCGCAUAACGUCGCAAGACCAAAGAGGGGGACCUUCGGGCCUCUCACUAUCGGAUGAACCCAGAUGGGAUUAGCUAGUAGGCGGGGUAAUGGCCCACCUAGGCGACGAUCCCUAGCUGGUCUGAGAGGAUGACCAGCCACACUGGAACUGAGACACGGUCCAGACUCCUACGGGAGGCAGCAGUGGGGAAUAUUGCACAAUGGGCGCAAGCCUGAUGCAGCCAUGCCGCGUGUAUGAAGAAGGCCUUCGGGUUGUAAAGUACUUUCAGCGGGGAGGAAGGCGGU
rnacentral:rRNA from 1 species